UUUGAAAUGGCGCAGUCCCUAUU
rnacentral:miRNA from 1 species